ACCUCAUGAUUAGGACAUUGAGUAAACUUUCUAUUAAAUCUUUCCCAAACCUCGUAUAAGGAUUUUCCAUUCAAUUGUCUAAAGUUAGUGAUUUCAUCAAUCAAUU
rfam:Capsicum annuum cultivar Zunla-1 unplaced genomic scaffold scaffold640, whole genome shotgun sequence